rnacentral:rRNA from 1 species
GAACGCUGGCGGCAGGCUUAACACAUGCAAGUCGAACGAACUCUUCGGAGUGAGUGGCGCACGGGUGCGUAACACGUGGGAAUAUACCCUUCAGUGCGGAAUAACGUAGAGAAAUUUACGCUAAUACCGCAUAAUGACUCCGGUCCAAAGAUUUAUCGCUGAAGGAUUAGCCCGCGCCUGAUUAGGUAGUUGGUGAGGUAAGAGCUCACCAAGCCGACGAUCAGUAGCUGGUUUGAGAGGAUGACCAGCCACACUGGAACUCAGACACGGUCCAGACUCCUACGGGAGGCAGCAGUGAGGAAUAUUGCGCAAUGGGGGAACCCCUGACGCAGCCAUGCCGCGUGAGUGAAGACGGCCUUAGGGUUGUAAAGCUCUUUCAGAUGUGAAGAUAAUGACGGUAGCAUCAGAAGAAGCCCCGGCUAAAUUCGUGCCAGCAGCCGCGGUAAUACGAAUGGGGCAAGCGUUGUUCGGAAUAACUGGGCUUAAAGCGUCCGCAGGCGGUCAGUAAAGUCAGAAGUGAAAUCCCAGAGCUCAACUCUGGAACUGCUUUUGAAACUCACUGACUAGAAUAUUGGAGAGGUUGGGAGAAUUCCUAGUGUAGAGGUGAAAUUCGCAGAUAUUAGGAGGAAUACCAGUGGCGUAGGCGCUUGACUGGACCGGUAUUGACGCUCAUGUACGAAAGCGUGGGGAGCAAACAGGAUUAGAUACCCUGGUAGUCCACGCCGUAAUCGAUCUAUGCUAGGUUGGAGUCUUUAGGCUUCAGUGACGCAGAGAAAUCAUUAAGCUUACCGUCUGGGGAGUACGGUCGCAAGAUUAAAACUCAAAGGAAUUGACGGGGACCCGCACAAGCGGUGGAGCAUGUUGUUUAAUUCGAAGCAACGCGAAGAACCUUACCCACACUUAACUAUCCUCUUGGGGCUUUCAGAGAUGAUCGCUUUCGGUUCGGCCGGGGAGUGAAUAGGUGCUGCAUGGCUGUCGUCAGCUCGUGUCGUGAGAUGUUGGGUUAAGUCCCGCAACGAGCGCAACCCUUAUUGCUAGUUGCCAUCAUUUAGUUGGGCACUCUAGUGAGACUGCCGGUGAUAAGCCGGAGGAAGGCGGGGACGACGUCAAGUCAUCAUGGCCCUUACGUGUGGGGCUACAAACGUGCUACAAUGGCAGUGACAAUGGGCAGCUACCUCGCGAGAGGAUGCUAAUCUCCAAAAACUGUCUCAGUUCGGAUUGUUCUCUGCAACUCGAGAGCAUGAAGUUGGAAUCGCUAGUAAUCGUGCAUCAGCAUGUCACGGUGAAUACGUUCCCGGGUCUUGUACACACCGCCCGUCAAGUCAUGGGAGUUGGUUCUACCCGAAGGUGCCGCGCUAACUACGGAGGCAGGCAACCACGGUAGGAUCAGCGACUGGGACGAAGUCGUAA